GAGGAGCCCAAUGUGGAACCCGAUCCCAGGAUCCCGGGAUCACGCCCUGAGCCAAAGGCAGAUGCUCAACCGCUGAGCCACCCAGGCAUCCCAACAUUUGUUCUAUUUAAGGGCAUCUAUAAUGUGCCCUGGAUUUGCUGUAAGGGGUCAAAGUCCUACUUUCCAGAUACAUAUGUUCUUGGGGGAGGCAGCCUAAAUAAACGGUGAACAACAUAACACCAAAGCCACGGAGAUGUGGCCAAAUAAUAAACGUCUGUUGAUAGAUAGCCUAGACAGAGCUCUAAGUUUCCAAUGUUAGGGAACAGGCUAAGGAAAGAAGCCAGCAAAGGAGAUGGAAAUGGAUUGGGCAUCGAGGAACAAAAACCAAGAGUGGCAGGAGAGCCCCGUGAUGAAGGGGGUGCUCAGGUGUGUCAAAUGCUGGUAAGAAUUUAAGUCAAGGUGCAAAUAGCAGUGGCCCUUGGACGAGAUAAGCGCAGUGUCUCGGGUGGUGGGAACAAAAGUUGAGGGCAUGUGAAGCUAAAGGUUUAUCAAUUUUGUUUGUAACAAUUUUAUUUUCAAAGAACCAACUUGGCAUUUUAUUUAUUCCCUAUUUUAUUUAUCUCCACUCUAAUUUUUCUGUCUUGCCUUCUGCUUGUUUUAUUUACGUUUAGUUUGCUCUUGUCUCGUUCCUAAAGGCGGAAGGUUAUGUUAUUGCUUUGAGAUCUUCUUUUUCAGUGUAGCCAUCGCUUUAAAUCUACCUCCCAGCACUGCUUUCCCUGCAUCCUGUAGGUUUGGUAUGUUGUGUUUUUGUUUUCAUUGUCUCAAUAAGUAUUUUCUAAUUUCCGCUGUGAUUUCUUUUUUGGCCCACAUUGGUUGUGGAAGAGUGUGUUGUUUAGAGGAAAAGAGGGUGUUGUUUAGGUUCCUCGUGUUUGUGAGUUUCAGAAGUUUCCUUCUGUUAACUGAUUGCUCCUUUCAUGCCAUUUGCUUAGUGAACAUACUCCCUAUGAUUUUGAUUUUUUAAAAUGUGUUGGGAUUUGUUUUGUUUGCGUGUGGUCUGUACUGGAGAAUGUUCUUUGUGCACUGAAGAAGAAUGCAUAUUUUGCUGCUGUCAGGCAGAGUCAUAUAGGUGUUUGUUAGUUGGUUGAGAGUGUUGCUUCCUUCUGUUGCCUGACUCGUCUUGUGUCUAGUUGUUUUGUCCAUCACUGAGUGGGGAAUACGGAGUUCUCCCUCUGUUACUGUUGAACUAUUUCUCCCUGAAUUUUGUCUGGUCUUAUUAGAUACACACCCACCUUUGCUCCCAUCUGGCUUUACUCUUCCCCUGCUUAUGUAGGGUCCAAAGAACAUCUUGUACCUUGUGUCCCCAUCACUAGAUUUAUAAUUACGGACCCAUGUAGUGUCUUCUAAAUCAGGAGGAAAAAGAGUUGCAAACAACAAAUACAUUUAUACCUUUUUAAAAAAGAUUUUAAAGAGACACAGAGAGAGGCAGAGACAUAGGCAGGGGGAGGAGCAGGCUCUCUGUGGGGAGCCUGAUGUGGGACUCAAUCCCAGGACCCCGGGAUCACGCCCUGGGCUAAAGUCAGACGCUCAACCACUGAGCCACCCACACGUCCCUGAAUUGGGUUUCUUAGACCCCUCACCUCCACCUCUCUCAAAUUCGUGUGUUGAGAAGCCCUAACCCCCCUGUGACUAUUUGGAGAUAGGACUUUUAGGAGGUCAAGUUAAAUGAUGUUAUUAGGGUGGGGCCCUGAUCCGAUCAGCUUGAUUAUCUGUAUAAGAGGAAGAAGAGACACCCAGGGAGCCCUCACCAAAAACAAAUCAGUCAGAACCUUGAUCCCGGACUUCUCCACCUCCAGAAUGGCUAGAAAGCAAACUCCCGUUGUUUAAAACACCCUGUUCGUGGUGUUCUGUUAUAGCAGCCCCGGCUGACUGAUACAUAGUUAGGAGCAGAAUUCCCAGUGAAUGAGGCUCAUUCUUCUUCUGGUCCUCUUUCCCAUGCCAGAAAUACAGGCUGUUACUUUCAAGGCCACCACUGAGCUGGGGUAGGGCUAAUACACCACAAAGCUCUCUGUUUGUACUGAGUCAGCUGUCCUUUCUCCAUGAAGCAUUCCCCUGGUUGCUGUGAGCUUUUACUCAGUUUCCAGAAUUCCGAAAGAGUUGAUUUUGGCCAUUUUUGCCAGGGCAUAGGUUGGUGUUUUGGAGGGAAGUUCUUUGGUGUUCCUUACUCCUCCACAUUUUCACUGCUGUCCUCACAUAUGCUCUUUAACACUGGGACUUUGACACUCCUCCCACCAAGAGGUGGGGGCCUGGGUUCUCCCACCUUGAGUCGGGCGGGGGUGGGGGGGGGGUGGUUUGCUUAUGACUGCUCCAACGCAAAGGACAACAGAGGUUGCUUUGAUUCUUCAGACUAGGUUAUAGAAAGGCUAGUUUCCAUAACCUUUUUUCAGGAGCUGGGGUCGGAACACUUGCCCUGGGGAAGCCAGCUUCCACGCUGCGAGGAGAGUCCAAAAUUCAUGUGGAGAGACCAGGUCGAGAGGAACGAGGGCCCCAAGGUGACAGCCAGCUUCAGUCCUCAGACAUAGUAAUAAACAGGCCUCCAGCCCUCAAGUCUUCCAGCUGAGACCCAGACCUCGUGGAGCAGAAGUGAGCUGUCUCUGCCGUGCCCUUACUAUGCCACAGCACCUGCAAGCAUAGUAAAUAGUUAUUUUAUGCUGCUGCAUUUUCCAGUAAUUUGUUCGGCAGUCACAGCAGCUGGAACAGUCACCUGGUGAAUUAAACGGUGCCACACCGUGGACAGACUUUUUCAUCCCUUUCAGUAUAGCUGGGCUGUGAAAGGGCUGUGUCCUUUCAGUAGCAGUUAGUGAUUGUCUCAUUACUCACACCCACCCCUGGCAGUGACAUCUCUUGUUCUGCUAGAUUUUGCAAGUGUCCCUAUCUUCCCAGUCAUCCAGGCAGUAAGCAGAGUGUGUGAUUUUUUCCUUUCCCUUUCUGUUCCUGACAGGCAACCAGUGAUACCUAUUGUCUUUCUCCUAGGGCCACACAAAUUUGUUCCUUCCUUCACAGCCCUAACGGAAUCACAGAUAUGAUAUGGAAUUCCUCUGUCAUUUGAGACCCCUGUCUCCUACGAGGGCAGUGCAAAAGGUGAACCACCCAGUCUGUCUCAGGUCUCUGGAGAACUUGAGUAAAGCAGUUCCACGAAGUGGUAGGAGCAAGAGCUCCAAUGAUUGGACUGGGUUCAAGAGAGAAUUGGAAGAGCGACCGGAGACAGCAGCAAGUAGGGACUUUCUAAAAAACUCUUUUUAAAGUAAUUUCCGCAUCCAACAUGGGGCUUGAACUCAUGACCCUGAGAUCAAGAGUUGCAUGCUCGACUGAGCCAGCCAGGCUCCUGGGGACUUUUCUUUUUAAGAUAGGAGCAAUAAAAAGCAUAUUUUCUGCAGAUGAAAAGAUCUUUGCUUUUCCAGUGAGGGACCUAGCCUUCUCACCAAUGCUCCCUUUUUGGACUUCAUAUUUAGAUAUUUGCUGUUUGUUGGAGCCUUCAUUCUGAAGAGUAUAAUAGGGUAUCUAAACUGAUACGAAGUUGAAGAUUGUGAAAUGAAAUCCAACUUCUUUCAGAUGCAGACUGCUUCUCUUCCCCCAAACUGGAUCCCCAUUGCUUUGGGGGAGACAACGGAGAUGUGGUCAGAUGUUCAGUAGAACUGCAUUUCUUUCAUUUAUUAUUUGGGUGGUUCUUCAUACUUGUGAUUUGGUGCUGUAUCUCAACUCCAUAGAUCGCACCUUUCCCCUAUUUCUGUAGGAUGAUGGUUCUUCACUGAUUCUUCGUUUUCUCUUGCUUCAAAGGAACGACAAUGACCAAAGAAGUCUUAAAAAACGUAAUGUGAACCCUGUGGCAGUCACUAGGCUGUUCACAAAAAUGUUCCUCCCAUCUCAGCACACGGUGGGAGAGCGGCUCUCACGGAGGACUGUGCAAUGUGCCCUAACCAAUGAAAUGUAAGCUAAGGGAUGUUUGUCGCUUCUAGCAGAAUCUUUAAGAACAGUUAGCAGUCUGCCACACGUUCUUGGCUGUUGCCAUUUGUGGUGGAAGCAUGUGUGGAUGAAAGCCUUUAUCAGCCAGGGUCCAAGUCAUAUUACCCUUGCCAACUCUGGAUAGACAUCUAGUAUGAGAAGGGAACUUUAGUUUUAUUCAUUUUCUUUUGGGACUGCAAAACCCAUCCUGCCCUGACUGACACAAUGCCUAAGCAAAAAUGAACUGCUGUUCUGGUGUUCCAGUCUCCGUUAUAACCAGCAGACUACCAAGUCUAGGAUAUGCAAGUUUUACUUUCCUACACCAGGAGCAAAGAAAACCCAGUAAAUAAAACAGUUGGUAAAAGUUCA